AUGGGCGCAGCCUGAUGCAGCGACGCCGCGUGCGGGAUGACGGCCUUCNGGUUGUAAACCGCUUUUGACUGGGAGCAAGCCCUUCGGGGUGAGUGUACCUUUCGAAUAAGCACCGGCUAACUACGUGCCAGCAGCCGCGGUAAUACGUAGGGUGCAAGCGUUAUCCGGAAUUAUUGGGCGUAAAGGGCUCGUAGGCGGUUCGUCGCGUCCGGUGUGAAAGUCCAUCGCUUAACGGUGGAUCCGCGCCGGGUACGGGCGGGCUUGAGUGCGGUAGGGGAGACUGGAAUUCCCGGUGUAACGGUGGAAUGUGUAGAUAUCGGGAAGAACACCAGUGGCGAAGGCGGCCUACUGGGCACCAACUGACGCUGAGGCUCGAAAGUGUGGGUAGCAAACAGGAUUAGAUACCCUGGUAGUCCAAGGGCGAAUUC
rnacentral:rRNA from 1 species